ensembl:miRNA
AAGUACGACUUCAGUAUACUUUGCGAAUUGGCUUUUACAAAAGACCAACUCACGAAAUAUACCGAAGUCGUACUU